UUUCUUCUUCUUCUACCUCCUUCCCUUCGUCUGCUUCAAUUACAAUUGAUCAUAAAAAAUAUGAUCCAAUAGAUAGCGUAACCAAAUAUAUCUGUUCAACAAUUUCAUUGGAGAUUUCGCAAAAAUGAACUAUUGGAUUGGGUCUUCGAAAUUUUGAAGGAGAAAUUAAAUAAAACAUAGACGUAAAAUAGAUUGAGAAGAAGAAUUAGAAGGUUUUUUCUUCUUUCUCAAAUUAUACGGUAGAUUUUCACUCUUAAUUCUAGUUCUCGAUCGGAAAAUAAGAAUCAUCUUUUAUGGGUUUAUUUGAGAAAAAUAACAAGAAAAACUCUCGAUCGGAAAAUAAAAUAAGAAUCAUCUUUUUUUUCUUCUUCUUCUUCUUCUAUAGAAUGCAAUUAAAGUCCUCGGAUAUUUAUAUAUAUAUAUAUAUAUAUAUGUUAUGAAUUUUCAGGUAAAGUUAUAAAUGAGUAUUUGAAAUUUUAGGAAACUUGGGUAAUAUGGAUUAUUUUUUCCGCUACGAUCAAAACCGGAGAUGUUGAGAAAGGGACAAUCGUUGAAUAAAUGAUUGAAGAAGUAGUGAGGGACAAUGUUCAUUUGAGGAGCUUAAUUAAUAUUUGUGUAGCUAAAAGGAAAGUGGGUGUAACUUUCUUAAAUGACACAAGCUCAAGAUCACACCAGGUUAUAAGAUGGUGUCCCAUGUACUAUCACUUUAAGCUUGCAUUUCUGGUGUGGCUCCAACUUCCAUCUUUUGAUGGGGAGACAUGGAAAGACCGGAUCAUUUUGUAGGCUUAUAUAAUUGUACAAGAUGAUGCAACGCAGUGCAAGUUGGAUAGGCAUGGUUGAUAUUUUUUCUCAGUCUGUGCGGACUAGGGUGGCAGUCUGGCUACCAUGGAGUUUGGAUUUUUUUG